rnacentral:rRNA from 1 species
UACAAUGGAGAGUUUGAUCCUGGCUCAGGAUGAACGCUAGCGGCAGGCCUAAUACAUGCAAGUCGAACGAGAUUCUUUUCUUCGGAGAAGAUGAAAGUGGCGCACGGGUGCGUAACGCGUAUGCAACCUACCCUUAACUGGGGGAUAGCCCGGAGAAAUUCGGAUUAAUACCCCAUAGUAUUACAGAUUGGCAUCAUGAAGUAAUUAAAGAUUUAUUGGUUAAGGAUGGGCAUGCGUGACAUUAGUUAGUUGGUAAGGUAAUGGCUUACCAAGACGAUGAUGUCUAGGGGUUCUGAGAGGAUGAUCCCCCACACUGGUACUGAGAUACGGACCAGACUCCUACGGGAGGCAGCAGUAGGGAAUAUUGGUCAAUGGGCGAGAGCCUGAACCAGCCAUGCCGCGUGUAGGAAGACGGCUUUCUGAGUUGUAAACUACUUUUAUAUGGGAAGAAAAAGGCCAUGCGUGGCAAAUUGCCGGUACCAUAUGAAUAAGCACCGGCUAACUCCGUGCCAGCAG